UACGUAGGGUGCAAGCGUUAAUCGGAAUUACUGGGCGUAAAGUGUGCGCAGGCGGCCGCGCAAGUCGAGUGUGAAAGCCCCGAGCUUAACUUGGGAAUUGCGCUCGAAACUACGUGGCUGGAGUGUGGCAGAGGAAGGUGGAAUUCCAGGUGUAGCGGUGAAAUGCGUAGAGAUCUGGAGGAACACCGAUGGCGAAGGCAGCCUUCUGGGCCAACACUGACGCUCAUGCACGAAAGCGUGGGGAGCAAACAGG
rnacentral:rRNA from 1 species